UUAACUGCAACUACUAAAUGGUAGUGUCACAUCAGCUCAUUGCAGUACCCCUCCCAGCCAGAGGAGGUCACAGUCUUCUGUGGAAUGAGCAGCACUUCCUGUGUGGUGGACUUCCUGGUUCCCUGAAUAUAUAAACCCUGCAUGUUUUUGCUUAUGACCUUUUGAUUAUCCAUGUACUUAGUUUGCUGAGUUGUGUAUUUUGUCCCAUGUCUGCUUUCUGGAUACAAUUUCUGGAUAACAUUUGUCAGCUUGUUCAACUGAUAUUUUGUUAAUAAACACAGUACAUUUCACCUAUCUGUAAUUUACCUCACAAAACUGGUAGUGAUUAGUUUUAAAGCCACAGUUGCAGUUCCUAAGAGUUUUUGCUGAUGAGUCCAUUUGUUCAUUGCUGAGUUUUUUUGUUUCUGUUGAGUGUCAGAGGUUGUGAGACAAUACACAACUUCAGUGAAUUUCGGAUCCUUCAGAAUUUUUACUGUGAAGAGGGAGUAGGACAUGGGCUGCAUUUGAAAUCGCAUACUGUGACAAUACCUACUGCAUUCGAUUCAAUGAAUACUGCUCGGCAAUUGAUACAGUACGUACUGUUCAGUAUAAUUGUCUAGCAUGAAUACAAUACGGACGUACUACGUCCACCAUGUUGGCAUUGUCAUGUAACCUACAACUUGAGAAGAGCCGAUGCACUGCCUUAGCAGUAGGUUAACUGAAUAUUUCUCACCUACUGUUUUAUGAAUCAUUUGAUUGUUUAAAUCAAAGUGAAUUAAGUGGAAUUCAAAGAGCUAUAAGAAAUUUGCUACAAAUUCUUUAAACUUCUUUAAUAGCUCUUUAAGUAUCAACCUUUUCUCUCUCCCUGUCAGAGUGCAGAUUAUAGCGGAGUUGCAAAGUCAGGAGUUUGUUUUUAUUUACCACAGUUGUCUCAGUUUUAUGAAUAGCACAGACCUGUUUUUUUUCUUUUAGUGAAAACAAUUUUCUUGAGUCUUUUUCCAUUGUCAGUGGGGCUCGAGGGGCCACGACUUUAUCGUGUCUGUCUGUCCACAUUACCAGGACAGUUCAGCAAGCUGGUAUCUAGCUUCUGUCAGAAAGUACCUCAUGCUGAGAUAGAAGGUGUUGAGGUGAUGAUUGUUUCCUGACCUCCCCUCACUCUCUCCAUUACAUCCACAAUGAAAGACACCGUUUCCUCCUCACCUAUCUCUAAAUGGG
ensembl:lncRNA